rnacentral:lncRNA from 1 species
ACACCGAGCACAGCAGUUACUGCCUCUUCCCUCUUUCUGUCUCCACUGUCCAUCUUCCCUCCUCCUUCCUCUCGCCUCUCCUGGUUGCAGUUGUAUUUGUGCGCCUUGGGAAGAUUACAAAGAGGUGCUUUGUGAGGGGAUGCAGCUGCUGAAAUCCGACUAGAUCCAGCUGAAGAGAGAAGGGAGCAGGUGGGUCAACAACGCCACCCUGCUGUUCCCAGAAUAUCAGGCUGCAGAGCUGUGCCUCCCUCCCCCACACAGGCACUCUCGCACACACAAACACACAGCAACACAUGCACACACAUCCUCAGAGCACCCCCAUCCCAGCCCAUCACACACAAACAUUAUAACAUGUCAAAAUAAAAACACAGCAACACCCACAAAACAGCAACACAGCAAUAUGCACAUGUCAAAGGACUACCUCUGUGGAAAUACUGCCCACUCAAACAAGUGUGUUUAACAAGAAUCAUUCAUGUAGUGGGAGAAUUUUGGCAGAAAGUUUGAAAGCUACACAAAUUAUUCCCGCACACACACUUAGUGCUGCGUACUAAGGCCUUAUGCUAAUUCUAGGUCGCACCUUAUGAUUUAAUUAACAGCAGCAAUGACAUGGGCAGUCCACGUGCUGUAGAAAGCAGAGGAAGAUCCUGUCAGCUUUGUGAAGCUAAGAUGUUAACAGGUCAGGAUGCUGCCAAAAUGUUGGAUUUCUGCAUCACAAUGGGGACAUUGGUAAGAUGACCCUCAUCCGGCUUUGUGCAGCUCAAAAAGAGGCGGCAGGAGAUGGAGAGAGGAAAGGAAUGAAAGAGAGAAGAGGAAGUCAUGCAGGCGAGCGUUCUUGCUCCCGUUGAAGUGGAUCAGAUGUCUCACCGCCAACCUGACUGCAGGGGACACGAUGCUGGACCAAGUCUUUGGAGUCUGGAGACAGAGUGGGGGGACAGAUCCUGCUGCACAUCUGAAGUUUAUUUGGCCUCCCCCUAGGGAGCGCGGUGAAUCUCUGCAUUUCAAGGAAAUUGCCAGCACUUUUUGAUCCAGCACCCAUCCCCCCUCUCCCUGCAUCUACUCCCCACCUGGCUGUCAUUGAGGUUUCCAUCUAAGGGUGGUGGGGGCUUCAAAUGCAGAGGCAGACAAUCAGACGCAGGUGUCUCCUCUAGUGACCCGGAUGUACUUAUCCCCCGAUGCCUGGUGACCCUGACAGGAAGUGAUUCGCUGGCCAAGUGACCUCCCCUGGUGGCCCUUCCUGUCCCCGUGUUGCCUCUCAGGAAGGAAGGAUGCGGUUUGUUGUCCUCAGGCGCCUCGCUCUCACUCUCCUGUCCUCAGCCUGACGAGAGAAACUAGAUUAUUGAUUCCAGGCUCGUCUCUCCUCGUCCUGUCCUUUUUUUAUUCUUCUUUUUCUGUCUGCUCCAUUCUUCAUCUCUUUCUCUCUUGUCUCAGCACCCACUUUAUUUUCUUUUGACAUCAUCCCUUUCUUCUUUUGUUAUAUUUUCCCUGUCCGUACGAGAUGUGAGUAAACACUGCGGACACAGGCAAACCGCAUCGUCCCCGAUCCCAUUCAAUUACACUCAGGGGGCUAACAAGUUUUUUGAUUUAUAGGCUCCAUUUAUUUUAUUUCUGACACUGAUUUAUUUAUUUGUUUUACUGUUAUUUUAUUGCCCAUACAUUCACAUUAAAUAUGGCAGUCAAUUCAUGUGGUGGAGAAUUUCCAAGGUCAGGCUUCUGGGUUUAGUCUGCUCUAAAAUGAAGUGCAUGCACACUGCAGAUUAAAGACACCAUUUGGUCGUAUUUAGGACGGGAAGGGGACUUCCAGGCAGAGACAGACACAGAGACCUCACUAACAACAUCAAACGCUGUUUUUGUUGUUCUUGGCUGUAGAUUAAGAACAGGAACUUAAACCAACAAGGUGAAAAGGUCAUGAAAAAUCAUUGCCAUUGUUUGUUAAUUGUGUAUCUGUCAAGCAACAAUGUCCAGGCCAGGAAAAACCUUAUCUCCUGAAGACUUUCACUACUUUCUAUGUUUAUAAUGUCAGCGUAGAGCGUAAUUUAUAAUAAUUCGUUUGGUGUAAAGAUGGUGAUAAUACAGUUUUUAUGUCUUAUUAUAGUAGAAUAUUUCUCUUUGUCACUUGUUAAUUAACAUUUUGUAAUUUCUGUCAUCAGCUGUAAUUGUUGUAUUGUGUUUGGUAAUGUGCCUUCAGUUUGUGAUUUUAAUUAUUAAAUGCAUUAACAUAAAAAAUAAUAAAGUUAAACCUUUUAUGAGCCUAAUUGUGUCUUUUUGUAGUUUUAAUAUUGUGAAAAAAAAAGUAGAAACAGAAAAAGCUAA